rnacentral:tRNA from 1 species
GGGGCGGUAGCUCAAAUGGUAGAGCGUCGCGUUCGCAAUGCGAAGGCCGGGAGUUCGAUCCUCCUCCGCUCCACCA